CCAAAAUUUCAUGACCACUGGCAUCAACCUUAUGGCUUUCCCCUGUUUGAGAUGAAACUCAGAAACCUGUAGCAGAGAAAUGCUGCAUGGAGCCACAAAACUGGCAGUUCACAGAGUACAGUGAGGGCAAGUGAAUGAGAUAUUAAACAUGGCCAAGUUUGACCUCUUAAUAGUAAUGAUCUGACAGAACUUGCAAAACACAAAGUCAAACCUCAGAAGACUGGACAAAGAACUACAGAGACAGACCAGUCAAAUAUGCAACAGAAAUUUCAGUCACGUCUGUCAACGAGGUGUAGAAGAGGUGUAUAGAUUAAGAAUAAAAAUUGCCUUGCUCAGCUUGCAGAUGAGAUACUAUCGUCAAGGUUAUCACUGUACCUCUGCUGGAGAUAACGCGUGUGCCUGUAAUUUUGAUUCACAAGUCAGCUAUUUCAGCUUAUUCUCUACUUCCCUACUCUUAUUUUGCAGGUGAGAAAAUAGAGCUUACAUGGAGCUAGACUGAUUACAGCUUCUAGCCUGGAAACCAGUUAUCUAUAUAUAUCUAUAUCUAUCUCUUAGUACAAUAACAAAUAAAGGUUA